rnacentral:lncRNA from 1 species
GUUAAAUAUUCACAGAAUGAAAAAAUCUACCACUGCUUUCCUUAUAUUAGUUCUUGUUUACGACAAUUCUCAAUGAUACUGUGGCUACACAUAGAAGUCUUGUUACAGCAUUUGAUCCUUAUUUUGAGUGUGUCAACAAAUAUUCACAGAGACAAUGUAAUCCGAUUUUUCCAAUAGUUUGUUUCUUUACCUCUUUUUUGUGUGAUUGAUAUCCCAAAAUUACAGAUUUUUCAUUUACAUUUGAGUUAUGUUUUUCAAAAAAUUAAAAACUAAAUUUGAGUUAUGUAUUAAAUAAUUGUUCCAUAUUAUGAUUAUAAGCUGGUUGAAAUAAAAUUUCACAAGUGCUUUUUGUGAGAUGGAAGGAUUUAAUCCUAUAUCAUCAAAUUAUAAGUAUAUUAUUUCUGUCGUUGAUUAUAAGUAAAAAUUAAUCAUAGAUAGUUGAUGUAUUUAGUUCAAAAUUUGGAUAAAAUAUCAUCUUUCUUUGAUCCUAUUUUUGCUUAUAAUUAGAGGUGGAUGAACUAUUCUUUAAAUUUC